CCCACUACGGCACUACCCCACCUGCUCCCUCCCCUUCCCUCGUCAACGCAGCGCAAGAGGGCAAGGGGCUACCUUUUUGCCCUGAGAGCUUCUGCGCAGCGGCCCCUCGCGGUCCUCAGCCACCUCCGCUUCAACAUCGCGGCCCCACAUGAAGCCCCCGCUCGCCGUGCAGCUCGUACGCUGUUGUAAUCGUGCGCUGCGAGCACCACGCCGCGAGCCCAUCCGUCCACAUAUCCUGGCAACCCAACCGUCGCGCGCCUCCCGGGUACCAGUCCGUCUUCCCCCCCGGCCACUCUCCCUUGCGCGUCCCCUCUUUUCCUGCCUCGCCCCCCUCUGUCUCUCUCCCCUUCUGCGUUGCCCUUGCUGCUAAUUGGACGAUUAAUAAUGUUGUGUUCUCAACAAAGCUACCUGAUCGAUCUUGGUAUGCUUGGAUUGGUUUGUUAACCAAGCACUGGAGUCCUAGCUCCCCAGUCUGCUGGACGGCAUCGCAGAUAAAUUCAGUGUGGUGUGUGUGAUUGAUCAACGGUAAAUUCAGCUAUGUGAUUUUGCAGGAGUUUUGAGUGGAAGAAGCCACCCACGCCAUCCCCUGCUACUAGCCGCGCCUUCCCUGCUUUCUUGCCUAUAUCUUUUUACUAGGAACUUUUCCACUUGGAUGGCCUGAAUAUUAGGGGCUUAAGGAAAUGUCUUAUACCAGACCAGUCUUAGACUCUUAGGAUUCUGUGCUGAUUCCAUGAGUGCAUCAUGAAUUCCUGGUGGUUUUCUUCAGAUUGUCAUCUGAUCAUGAAUUUCUCAUUGUUGAUCUGAAUUAUGCAAGCAUAAAUUACAGUGAGCUCCUGUUUUAAGCACUAUCUGGCUGUGUGUCCUUCAAAUACUGAAGUUGAUGUUCUGGGAUAUAUUUUUCUGAACCCUUUGUGGGUCAUUAGAAAACUCAUUAGGCUAUGCUUUCUAUGCAGAAUUUUUAGUCGAGUUUACUUUCAUUUGGAACCUGUAACACUUGAUUUUGAGAUCAAGAGAUGGGCUGCUUGGAAGGAAGACAACAUGAAGCCCUUGUUAUCAAGAUUUCAAUAUGUUAAUAUGAUGUUUCCAGUAUUGAUACAUCUUAAUUUGUGUGCUCUUGUUGGCAAACUAAUAUUUUACUGAGCCCUAAAAAAUGUGGCCAAGCCAUGAUUCUUGUUAAACAUAUUAUUUUUGCUCCACAAUGAGCUCGGUGAAUGACUUCAAAAUUAUCAAAGUGUAAGAAAUUUGUGGUUAAAUUUUAACUUAAACUAGCUGAA